UACGUAGGGGGCAAGCGUUGUCCGGAAUCAUUGGGCGUAAAGCGCGUGUAGGCGGCCCGUUAAGUCCGCUGUGAAAGUCGGGGGCUCAACCCUCGGAUGCCGGUGGAUACUGUCGGGCUCGAGUGCGGAAGAGGCGAGUGGAAUUCCUGGUGUAGCGGUGAAAUGCGCAGAUAUCAGGAGGAACACCAAUUGCGAAGGCAGCUCGCUGGGACGUUACUGACGCUGAGACGCGAAAGCGUGGGGAGCAAACAGG
rnacentral:rRNA from 1 species